UCUGUUCAGGGAUUCGUUCUUCUUCUCCACACGCUCCCUGCACACACAAGAAAAGGAAAGGAAAGGAAGAUUGAUUCGUUUCAUAGACAAACGUUUUUUCUUAUCGUCGCCUCCCUCCAAACAUUUGCCAUCCAAAUCCAUCCUUCGAAAAUUAAUUCUCCCCUUUUAGCACUCAAUCAAUCUCUCUCUCUCUCUCUCUCUCUCUCACACAUAUGUUGCAAAAAGGCAUAGUAUAAUCCCAUUUCUUUCUUUUAGGCCUUAAGGUUUCCCUCUGCUCCUCUCCUCUCCUAUCAGAUACCAAAAGAAACAGAUACCCACAAACUCCACCCAUUCUCUCUCUCUCUCUCUCUCUUAAUAUAUGAUCAACAUUUUCUCUCCUUUUCCACUCCAUAACCCCAACAAGAUUUUGAUUCCUAUCGAGAAAAUCAAGAAAUUCUUACUUUCUUUAACCCUUAUAGCAUCUUUUGUUUCCCUAUUUAUUUAUUCUACCCAUUUCACCAACAACGCACCAACAAAUCAAGAAACCAUGAAGGUGCAUCCAUUACCCAAGAAGAGAAACAACAUAACAAUCCAAUUCUACAAUCAUAGAGGAGACCCUUUAGUAUCAUCUUCUGGUGGGUCCCAACACAAGAAACUCAGGAGGCUACCCCACAUAUUCAGCCGGGUCUUAGAACUCCCCUUCCGGUCAGAUGCUGACGUGUCGGUUGAGGAAAAUCCUGAUUGCUUUCGAUUUGUUGCUGAAACAGAUAAUAACAUCGGUGAAGUGAGGGCCCACACCGUUGAAAUCUAUCCUGGAGUAACUAAAAUUGUGAUUAGGCCAAAUGGGUAUCUAGAAUUAUCUCCACUUGAUGAUUUGGAGUUGGAUAUGUGGAGGUUCCGGUUGCCGGAAACCACCAGGCCGGAGCUUGCGAGUGCGGUUCUGGCUGACGGAGAGUUGAUUGUGACGGUUCCGAAAGGAGAGGAAGUGGAGGAGGAAGGGAAUGGUAAUAAUAACAAUGGCGAGUUUAGAGCUUCUGGAAGCUAGUUUCUUAAGGUGGUUGGGACUGGGAUUUGUGUGCUUACCGUUGUCAUUGAUGAUUAAUAAAAUAGUCGAGUAGAUGCAUAUGCUUCGUUUGCACAGUUAGUCAUUAGCGGAAAUGCAAGCUGCAUACCUUGCGCCUGGCCCUAGCAUUCACGAUCUUAUGUUUGACAAUAUGACCGAAGAAAUGAUUGCGUUUAUGAAGACCAGGUUGGGUGGAUCACAAUAAUUGCACCCACCUCCCCGCGUAUAUCAUUGACUCGUCUUGGCGAUUAUGGCUCUUGAAUUUUUUCUGCAUCUUUUCGAAAAGUCGAACAUUAUGAUCGGUUCUUGUAAUGUCAAUAAUUUGUUGAAAUGUAAGCUGAAACGUUUAUUA